AUUGAACGCUGGCGGCAGGCCUAACACAUGCAAGUCGAACGAGUGGCGGACGGGUGCGUAAUGUCUGGGAAACUGCCUGAUGGCGGGGGAUAACUACCUGAAACGGUAGCUUAUACCGCAUAACAUCCGAUGUGCCCAUAUGGGAUUAGCUAGUGGGUGGGGUAACGGCUCACCUAGGCGACGAUGCCUAGCUGGUCUGAGAGGAUGACCAGGCACACUGGAACGGAGGCACGGUCCAGACUCCUACGGGAGGCAGCAGUGGGGAAGUUUGCACUAUGGGCGCAAGUCUGAUGCAGCCAUGCCACGUGUAUGAAGAAGGGCUUCGGGUUGUAAAGUACUUUCAGCGGAUAGGCGUUGCCUGCAGGAGAAGCACCGUCUAACUCCGUGCCAGCAGCAGCGGUAAUAC
rnacentral:rRNA from 1 species